CUGUGGUUCAGGUUAAACUAUUGUUCUACUGUUCCUGCUCAGCCUCCUAAUGUUCUAUGUCUUGAUGCGCCUUCUUCCAGCUUCUCUAUUGGUUUUCUCUUCACACUGAUGUUUGAAUUGAUGGCUAGAAAUACAGAGUGCCAUUUUGUCUUAUGGAGUGAUAAUUAAGAAGACAUACAUAGCUGCAAAGGGAUUGCUCAAAUGAAACAAGUUGCUAAUUUUGUAUCUUUGACACUCAUGGAAAAGGAAAAUUCCUAGGGAUUUGAUUGAUGGAGGCAUCGCUAUUUGGCGCUGGAUUAUUGAUGUCUACUACACAA